rnacentral:rRNA from 1 species
GAUGAACGCUGGCGGCGUGCCUAAUACAUGCAAGUCGAGCGAACAGAUGAGGAGCUUGCUCCUCUGACGUUAGCGGCGGACGGGUGAGUAACACGUGGAUAACCUACCUAUAAGACUGGGAUAACUUCGGGAAACCGGAGCUAAUACCGGAUAAUAUAUUGAACCGCAUGGUUCAAUAGUGAAAUACGGUUUUGCUGUCACUUAUAGAUGGAUCCGCGCCGCAUUAGCUAGUUGGUAAGGUAACGGCUUACCAAGGCAACGAUGCGUAGCCGACCUGAGAGGGUGAUCGGCCACACGGGAACUGAGACACGGUCCAGACUCCUACGGGAGGCAGCAGUAGGGAAUCUUCCGCAAUGGGCGAAAGCCUGACGGAGCAACGCCGCGUGAGUGAUGAAGGUCUUCGGAUCGUAAAACUCUGUUAUUAGGGAAGAACAAAUGUGUAAGUAACUAUGCACGUCUUGACGGUACCUAAUCAGAAAGCCACGGCUAACUACGUG